UACGAAGGGGGCAAGCGUUGUCCGGAUUUAUUGGGCGUAAAGAGCGUGUAGGCGGCCAUGUAGGUCCGUUGUGAAAACUCGAGGCUCAACCUCGAGACGCCGAUGGAAACCAUGUGGCUAGAGUCCGGAAGAGGAGAGUGGAAUUCCUGGUGUAGCGGUGAAAUGCGCAGAUAUCAGGAAGAACACCCGUGGCUAAGGCGGCUCUCUAGUACGGUACUGACGCUGAGACGCGAAAGCGUGGGGAGCGAACAGG
rnacentral:rRNA from 1 species